GGUUGGUCCGAGUGCAGUGGUGUUUACAACUAAUUGAUCACAACCAGUUACAGAUUCCUUUGUUCCUUCUCCACUCCCACUGCUCCACUUGACCAACCUUAA
rnacentral:Y_RNA from 1 species